rnacentral:misc_RNA from 1 species
UGGAUUUCAGUUACGUGUGCUAUUAGAUACCCUGGUAGUCCACGCCCUAAACGAUGUCAACUAGCUGUUGGGGCCUUCGGGCCUUGGUAGCGCAGCUAACGCGUGAAGUUGACCGCCUGGGAGUACGGUCGCAAGAUUAAAACUCAAAGGAAUUGACGGGGACCCGCACAAGCGGUGGAUGAUGUGGAUUAAUUCGAUGCAACGCGAAAAACCUUACCUACCCUUGACAUGUCUGGAAUCCCGAAGAGAUUUGGGAGUGCUCGCAAGAGAACCGGAACACAGGUGCUGCAUGGCUGUCGUCAGCUCGUGUCGUGAGAUGUUGGGUUAAGUCCCGCAACGAGCGCAACCCUUAUUAUUAGUUGCUACGAAAGGGCACUCUAAUGAGACUGCCGGUGACAAAACCGGAGGAAGGUGGGGAUGACGUCAAGUCCUCAUGGCCCUUAUGGGUAGGGCUUCACACGUCAUACAAUGGUCGGGACAGAGGGUCGCCAACCCGCGAGGGGGAGCCAAUCCCAGAAACCCGAUCGUAGUCGGAUCGCAGUCUGCAACUCGACUGCGUGAAGUCGGAAUCGCUAGUAAUCGCGGAUCAGCAUGUCGCGGUGAAUACGUUCCCGGGUCUUGUACACACCGUCCGUCACACCAUGGGAGUGGGUUUUACCGAAGUAGUUAGCCUAACCGUAAGGAGGGCGAUUACCACGGUAGGAUUCAUGACUGGGGUGAAGUCGUACAAGGUAG